UACGAAGGGGGCUAGCGUUGCUCGGAAUUACUGGGCGUAAAGCGCACGUAGGCGGCUUGUUAAGUCAGGGGUGAAAUCCUGGAGCUCAACUCCAGAACUGCCUUUGAUACUGAGGAUCUUGAGUUCGGGAGAGGUGAGUGGAACUGCGAGUGUAGAGGUGAAAUUCGUAGAUAUUCGCAAGAACACCAGUGGCGAAGGCGGCUCACUGGCCCGAUACUGACGCUGAGGUGCGAAAGCGUGGGGAGCAAACAGG
rnacentral:rRNA from 1 species